rnacentral:rRNA from 1 species
CAGCCGCCGCGGUAAUACGAAGGGGGCUAGCGUUGUUCGGAUUUACUGGGCGUAGAGGGCGCGUAGGCGGGCGAUUAAGUCAGGGGUGAAAUCCCAAGGCUCAACCUUGGAACUGCCUUUGAUACUGAUUGUCUUGAGUUCAAGAGAGGUAAGUGGAACUGCGAGUGUAGAGGUGAAAUUCGUAGAUAUUCGCAAGAACACCAGUGGCGAAGGCGGCUUACUGGCUCGAUACUGACGCUGAGGCGCGAAAGCGUGGGGAGCAAACAGGAUUAGAUACCCGCGUAGUCCCUGUCUCUUAUAC